UUUAACUCUAUAUUUAGCCAUGUUUAACGAAUAUUUUACCUUGUUGAUUGAAAGCAUAUUUAGCCUAAUUUUAUUAUAUAACUGAAAGUUUUAUCUAAAAAAUUAAAGAAAACAGAUUUUAAAUUUAUAUAUAUGAAAGGAAGCACGUGCAAUACCAUCAAUCUUAAAAUGUAACAAUGUAUGUGUGUAUUGUGUAAACAUAUUUACUCAAAAACAUUCAUUAAAAAAUAUUUAACUAGAGGCCUUUUUCAGACCAAACAAUAUGGUCAUGUUUGAAUGCAAAUCCGAAUAAGUUCUCUACGAUAUAAACAAAAGGUUUGAGAAAUAUUAUAAUACUGUACACUCCUUAACGUACUGUAUUACUUGUACAUGGGAACAGUGUACACGUUGUUGUACCCUGAUCUCAUCCCUCCCCGGUGCAUCGACAAUAUAUACCCCUGUUCAGGAGCUGAGGACAAUAUCGUUGUAUCCUGACCCCAGCUGACUGGUGUAAGAGAAGGAAGACAGGUGUUGUUCUGACACUUGUACAAGAAAGCUAUACUAUAAACAGUAGUUCUGGAGCUACUGCUGUACCUGUACCUCGACGGAAGAAGAUUGUGCUUGUACUAUAUAAUCCCGGUUUGACCUGGAUAAGAAGGAGACGCUGUACUCUCUGGACCUGUAAACAUGAAGCUGUCCUGUUAUUGCAGCCAUGAGUUAUUUACAGGACUUGAAGGAGAGUGUUGAUAGUGAGUUGGAGCUGAAGAGGAGUAUGCUGAACCUGGGGUGAGAGCCAGAUAUUCUCAAACCAGGAAACAGAUACCCUCCUGGUCUAGUGAGCUCUGACCAGAACGAUAACAGGAGUAAACCUUUGGAGAUAAGGGGAUCUGAUUAAAUAAACAGUCUCGUCAAGAAAGAUACCUUCGUGGACGGUGCUCCACGCACUCAGUCG